rnacentral:rRNA from 1 species
GGGUUGUGAGGUUAAGCGACUAAGCGUACACGGUGGAUGCCCUGGCAGUCAGAGGCGAUGAAGGACGUGCUAAUCUGCGAUAAGCGUCGGUAAGGUGAUAUGAACCGUUAUAACCGGCGAUUUCCGAAUGGGGAAACCCAGUGUGUUUCGACACACUAUCAUUAACUGAAUCCAUAGGUUAAUGAGGCGAACCGGGGGAACUGAAACAUCUAAGUACCCCGAGGAAAAGAAAUCAACCGAGAUUCCCCCAGUAGCGGCGAGCGAACGGGGAGCAGCCCAGAGCCUGAAUCAGUGUGUGUGUUAGUGGAAGCGUCUGGAAAGGCGCGCGAUACAGGGUGACAGCCCCGUACACAAAAAUGCACAUGCUGUGAGCUCGAUGAGUAGGGCGGGACACGUGGUAUCCUGUCUGAAUAUGGGGGGACCAUCCUCCAAGGCUAAAUACUCCUGACUGACCGAUAGUGAACCAGUACCGUGAGGGAAAGGCGAAAAGAACCCCGGCGAGGGGAGUGAAAAAGAACCUGAAACCGUGUACGUACAAGCAGUGGGAGCACGCUUAGGCGUGUGACUGCGUACCUUUUGUAUAAUGGGUCAGCGACUUAUAUUCUGUAGCAAGGUUAACCGAAUAGGGGAGCCGAAGGGAAACCGAGUCUUAACUGGGCGUUAAGUUGCAGGGUAUAGACCCGAAACCCGGUGAUCUAGCCAUGGGCAGGUUGAAGGUUGGGUAACACUAACUGGAGGACCGAACCGACUAAUGUUGAAAAAUUAGCGGAUGACUUGUGGCUGGGGGUGAAAGGCCAAUCAAACCGGGAGAUAGCUGGUUCUCCCCGAAAGCUAUUUAGGUAGCGCCUCGUGAAUUCAUCUCCGGGGGUAGAGCACUGUUUCGGCAAGGGGGUCAUCCCGACUUACCAACCCGAUGCAAACUGCGAAUACCGGAGAAUGUUAUCACGGGAGACACACGGCGGGUGCUAACGUCCGUCGUGAAGAGGGAAACAACCCAGACCGCCAGCUAAGGUCCCAAAGUCAUGGUUAAGUGGGAAACGAUGUGGGAAGGCCCAGACAGCCAGGAUGUUGGCUUAGAAGCAGCCAUCAUUUAAAGAAAGCGUAAUAGCUCACUGGUCGAGUCGGCCUGCGCGGAAGAUGUAACGGGGCUAAACCAUGCACCGAAGCUGCGGCAGCGACACUAUGUGUUGUUGGGUAGGGGAGCGUUCUGUAAGCCUGUGAAGGUGUGCUGUGAGGCAUGCUGGAGGUAUCAGAAGUGCGAAUGCUGACAUAAGUAACGAUAAAGCGGGUGAAAAGCCCGCUCGCCGGAAGACCAAGGGUUCCUGUCCAACGUUAAUCGGGGCAGGGUGAGUCGACCCCUAAGGCGAGGCCGAAAGGCGUAGUCGAUGGGAAACAGGUUAAUAUUCCUGUACUUGGUGUUACUGCGAAGGGGGGACGGAGAAGGCUAUGUUGGCCGGGCGACGGUUGUCCCGGUUUAAGCGUGUAGGCUGGUUUUCCAGGCAAAUCCGGAAAAUCAAGGCUGAGGCGUGAUGACGAGGCACUACGGUGCUGAAGCAACAAAUGCCCUGCUUCCAGGAAAAGCCUCUAAGCAUCAGGUAACAUCAAAUCGUACCCCAAACCGACACAGGUGGUCAGGUAGAGAAUACCAAGGCGCUUGAGAGAACUCGGGUGAAGGAACUAGGCAAAAUGGUGCCGUAACUUCGGGAGAAGGCACGCUGAUAUGUAGGUGAAGUCCCUCGCGGAUGGAGCUGAAAUCAGUCGAAGAUACCAGCUGGCUGCAACUGUUUAUUAAAAACACAGCACUGUGCAAACACGAAAGUGGACGUAUACGGUGUGACGCCUGCCCGGUGCCGGAAGGUUAAUUGAUGGGGUUAGCGGUAACGCGAAGCUCUUGAUCGAAGCCCCGGUAAACGGCGGCCGUAACUAUAACGGUCCUAAGGUAGCGAAAUUCCUUGUCGGGUAAGUUCCGACCUGCACGAAUGGCGUAAUGAUGGCCAGGCUGUCUCCACCCGAGACUCAGUGAAAUUGAACUCGCUGUGAAGAUGCAGUGUACCCGCGGCAAGACGGAAAGACCCCGUGAACCUUUACUAUAGCUUGACACUGAACAUUGAGCCUUGAUGUGUAGGAUAGGUGGGAGGCUUUGAAGUGUGGACGCCAGUCUGCAUGGAGCCGACCUUGAAAUACCACCCUUUAAUGUUUGAUGUUCUAACGUUGACCCGUAAUCCGGGUUGCGGACAGUGUCUGGUGGGUAGUUUGACUGGGGCGGUCUCCUCCUAAAGAGUAACGGAGGAGCACGAAGGUUGGCUAAUCCUGGUCGGACAUCAGGAGGUUAGUGCAAUGGCAUAAGCCAGCUUGACUGCGAGCGUGACGGCGCGAGCAGGUGCGAAAGCAGGUCAUAGUGAUCCGGUGGUUCUGAAUGGAAGGGCCAUCGCUCAACGGAUAAAAGGUACUCCGGGGAUAACAGGCUGAUACCGCCCAAGAGUUCAUAUCGACGGCGGUGUUUGGCACCUCGAUGUCGGCUCAUCACAUCCUGGGGCUGAAGUAGGUCCCAAGGGUAUGGCUGUUCGCCAUUUAAAGUGGUACGCGAGCUGGGUUUAGAACGUCGUGAGACAGUUCGGUCCCUAUCUGCCGUGGGCGCUGGAGAACUGAGGGGGGCUGCUCCUAGUACGAGAGGACCGGAGUGGACGCAUCACUGGUGUUCGGGUUGUCAUGCCAAUGGCACUGCCCGGUAGCUAAAUGCGGAAGAGAUAAGUGCUGAAAGCAUCUAAGCACGAAACUUGCCCCGAGAUGAGUUCUCCCUGACCCUUUAAGGGUCCUGAAGGAACGUUGAAGACGACGACGUUGAUAGGCCGGGUGUGUAAGCGCAGCGAUGCGUUGAGCUAACCGGUACUAAUGAACCGUGAGGCUUAACCUUACAACGCCGAAGCUGUU